CGCUGUCCAUCCUGGACACCAGCGCCAUCAAAGCAGGUUGAAACUCAGACACAGCUUACAAAGAAGCUAUGAAGAAAUGCCAGCUGAUUACACCUACGCUGACCAAGGCACAAGUACUGGGGUGAGAUGAGAGAUGUGGCACCCUGAGAAGAGGAAGACCAUCAACGAGUGGCCGACUGAGAAGAGGAAGACCAUCAACGAGUGGCCGAAGGAGCAGUUUGUCAAGUAUGCGCACCACUUCACCCCGUACCGUGCUACCUGCAGAUGAAUGUGGACAGAGCCAUCUAUGAACAGACAGGGGAGGUUCAAGUCACUCACCUACCUAGAGAUGUGGCAGUGGUACAGACCCCAGCUGGGAAGAAGACGCUCUGUCCACCUAUGAAACACAAGGGAGACAGUUACUGGAGGC